rnacentral:rRNA from 1 species
UACGCCUACGGGGCGCAGCAGUGGGGAAUAUUGGGCAAUGGGCGCAAGCCUGACCCAGCAACGCCGCGUGAAGGAAGAAGGCUUUCGGGUUGUAAACUUCUUUUAAGAGGGAAGAGUAGAAGACGGUACCUCUUGAAUAAGCCACGGCUAACUACGUGCCAGCAGCCGCGGUAAUACGUAGGUGGCAAGCGCUGUCCGGAUUUACUGGGUGUAAAGGGCGUGCAGCCGGAGAGACAAGUCAGAUGUGAAAUCCACGGGCUCAACCCGUGAACUGCAUUUGAAACUGUUUCCCUUGAGUGUCGGAG